UUUGGUGUUAGGAAAAAAGAGUAUUUGACGCUUUGGGAUAAGUAUUAGGGAAUUUGGAGGGGGAUAUUACUGAGAUGCCAAGAGUUGUUAUUCCACGCAGAGGCCAGCUUGAGGCCAGUAUGGUCUGGGUGGAAGUGACCAUGGAUAAGGCUCCUCAGUGGAGCCUGGCUAGAGACCCAUCUAUCCAGCUAAAACUUGAUUUUUUUUUCCCCAUUGUGGAUAACCCAUUGAGAAGCUAGGGUGCAAUUUCCC
rnacentral:lncRNA from 1 species